rnacentral:rRNA from 1 species
GACGUAGGGGGCGAGCGUUGUCCGGAUUUAUUGGGCGUAAAGAGCGCGUAGGCGGCUCGUUAAGUCGGGUGUGAAAACCCGGGGCUCAACCCCGGACCUGCAUCCGAUACUGGCGGGCUCGAGGCAGGUAGGGGAGAGUGGAAUUCCUGGUGUAGCGGUGAAAUGCGCAGAUAUCAGGAGGAACACCAAUGGCGAAGGCAGCUCACUGGGACGGUAUUGACGCUGAGACGCGAAAGCGUGGGGAGCAAACAGG